rnacentral:rRNA from 1 species
GAUGAACGCUGGCGGCGUGCUUAACACAUGCAAGUCGAACGAUGAAGCCCAGCCUGCUGGGCGGAUUAGUGGCGAACGGGUGAGUAACACGUGAGUAACCUGCCCUUGACUCUGGGAUAAGCCCGGGAAACUGGGUCUAAUACCGGAUAGGAGCGCCUGUCGCAUGACGGGUGCUGGAAAGAUUUUUCGGUCAUGGAUGGACUCGCGGCCUAUCAGCUUGUUGGUGAGGUAACGGCUCACCAAGGCGACGACGGGUAGCCGGCCUGAGAGGGUGACCGGCCACACUGGGACUGAGACACGGCCCAGACUCCUACGGGAGGCAGCAGUGGGGAAUAUUGCACAAUGGGCGGAAGCCUGAUGCAGCGACGCCGCGUGAGGGAUGACGGCCUUCGGGUUGUAAACCUCUUUCAGUAGGGAAGAAGCGAAAGUGACGUACCUGCAGAGA